rnacentral:lncRNA from 1 species
UGUGUAGAGAUGAAUUUCUUGUCAGAAUUUCGAAGAAAUUAAUAUUUUUGGUAAAAUGUGCUAAUGUAAAGAAUUAGAAGAUUCAUAAUACAUAAUGAAUGAAAUGCAUUCUUUUGCAUGGAAAUAGGAAAAGAAUAACUGUCCUGCAGGUGACUGGGGCUAUAGGACGGUUUUUUAUGAUUACAGUCUGAUUGGCCCUUGUUAGGAUGAUUAACCUUUCUGAAAUUAAAAGCCACAGCUGAAUUAGUCUGACCAAUUUAAAUGUAAA